GAUGAACGCUGGCGGCGUGCUUAACACAUGCAAGUCGAACGAAGCACUUAAGUCAGAUUCUUCGGAUGAAGACUUUUGUGAUUGAGUGGCGGACGGGUGAGUAACGCGUGGGUAACCUGCCUCAUACAGGGGGAUAACAGUUAGAAAUGACUGCUAAUACCGCAUAAGACCACAGCACCGCAUGGUGCAGGGGUAAAAACUCUGGUGGUAUGAGAUGGACCCGCGUCUGAUUAGCUGGUUGGUGGGGUAACGGCCUACCAAGGCGACGAUCAGUAGCCGACCUGAGAGGGUGACCGGCCACAUUGGGACUGAGACACGGCCCAAACUCCUACGGGAGGCAGCAGUGGGGAAUAUUGCACAAUGGGGGAAACCCUGAUGCAGCGACGCCGCGUGAAGGAUGAAGUAUUUCGGUAUGUAAACUUCUAUCAGCAGGGAAGAAAAUGACGGUACCUGACUAAGAAGCCCCGGCUAACUACGUGCCAGCCGCCGCCGUAA
rnacentral:rRNA from 1 species